UACGUAGGGGGCAAGCGUUGUCCGGAAUCAUUGGGCGUAAAGAGCGUGUAGGCGGCCAGGUAGGUCCGCUGUGAAAACUCGAGGCUCAACCUCGAGAUGUCGGCGGAAACCAUCUGGCUAGAGUCCGGAAGAGGAAAGUGGAAUUCCCGGUGUAGCGGUGAAAUGCGCAGAUAUCGGGAAGAACACCCGUGGCGAAGGCGGUUCUCUGGGACGGUACUGACGCUGAGACGCGAAAGCGUGGGGAGCGAACAGG
rnacentral:rRNA from 1 species